rnacentral:lncRNA from 1 species
GGGAGGGGGAGUGCGCAUGCGCGGGGAGCGCAGCGGUGGAGGGCUGCGGGAGCGGAGCGGGCAGAGCGCGGUGUAACGCGACGUGACGGAGGGACUGUAUGGCAGAUACAAACAGGGCUGGGAUGGGAAGUCAUAGAUAAAGGAAGCACGGCAAAAAAAAAAAAAAAAAAAAAAAGAGGAGGUGCGAGCCAGAAACGGGAGCUGCGAUGGAAAGUAAUAAAUGCACGAGGUGGGUUGUGGAAAGCAAGGGAUGCAUGCCGAAAAGCGGGGCUGCAAUGCAAGGUGAUGGAUUAAGGGAUUGCACAUAAAGAAAUAAGCAAAUAAAACAUACGGUACGAAGGAAGAAAGGGGGACUGUUGCAAAAAAGGGGGGCUAUGCUACAAAAGGAAUAGGAGUAGGAAAAAAAAUGGAGCACGCUGUGAAAUGUAAAGGGCUGCCGUGCAGAAACGGGUGCGGGGCAAAAGGCCUCGAGGUUCUGCCCGCUCCUCUCCAUCCAAGGCCAGGAGAAGGCAAACCCAGCGCCGUCCCUCACUGCAGUCAGCACGUAACAAAGUCAUUGCGGUGCGGGCAGACCGGGCCCUGCGUGGCAGAGCCUUUUAUUAGCCUAUAGCGCUGUUUAUCUGCAACGACUCCAAAGUUCAGUGCUGGAUGAGCCCCGCGGGUUGGCUGUGCUCCAGGCUAAGGCAAUGGAAGGAGCUCACCACAUCUCGCUCCCUGUCGGCCGCGCUCGCCGUGCUUACCCAGCCCUUCCCCUGACCAAACUGCCCUUUGAGUUGGAAGGUGCCCACAAGGAUCGAGUCCAGCAACACCGUCCCGGCCAUGGAGCUAUAGGUCACUUCCCUUUGCAAAUCUCUCCAUUUAAUCAGCCCUCUGACGCACGUCGGUCUGAGCCUCGGCAAACCUGAGCCUUAUCCCCGGCUCUGCCUGUAAUCCCACUGUAGCCCCGUGCCUCAGUUUCCCCCGUGCUGGUGGCUGUGAAGCUGCUCUGCCCAAUGGAGAUGGACUGAUUGAAAGUAUAAAAAAGCAAUAACCUCUUGCAUGCAAACCAUCUAUUAGUUAAACGUGUGACCAAGCCACGCACACGCAAGGAAAAGCACUGCAACGUGCUCUAUUAUACAUUUCUCCAUGGAAAUGGGCUCAGCUCUUUGUUUUAACCAGCCAGAAGCCCCAAGAGCAGGAACUGCUUGUCUAUACCUUCCUUAAGGGAUUCCAUUCUGGAGAGAAAGGAACCUCUCCUUCCCCAAACCAUGCACCAGCUGGCUUUUCCACACCAAGCUUUCCCCUAGCCAGGUAAGCAUGCCUCCUGUGACAGCACUGCCAAUCAUUUUCCUCCCUCCCUGCCAGGGAAGCACCUCCGAGGGACAAGAAAAAGCCACGCAGUCUCCCAGGUCCUUCAAAGAAACCUCACACAGGGUCACUGCUGUCACACUGCGGGCAGCCUGGCUGGAAGGACAUCCACAGGAAAGGAGCUGUCACAGACAAAGCCUGCAGAUGGAAGAAAAGGUUGAAAUUAGUACUUAAAAUGCUCCGUUUACAUGAAAAGCCAGCUGAAACAGGAGCGCAAAGCCCGGCCCAUGGUGCAGAACAAAGCUCUGCAUCGUUCCAGUGCUUCUAGUGUGCUUUGGGGGGAAGCUGUUCCCAGUUGCAACACACAGCCACGCUUGGGCAGUGCUGCUGUAACCAGAUCCCUCUCUCAUCUGAAGCUUUUCAAGAACACAGAUUGGAGAGAGCGUGACCUGCGUCUCAGAAGGCCAAGGGGACCUCAGUAAAGGAGGUGGCAGCAACCGGUGUCAUCCUGGUCACUGCACGAGGACCUGUGUGCAGCCUGCUGGCCUGUCCUGCUGACAGCAAGCUUGGGAGCAAGCAUCAAAGGUCAACACUUGAUCCUGCACCCCUCCUACUCAAACGGCCAAGAACAGGAGACUCCAUCCAGCUGCUCUCCAUCACCCAUCAUCUCACCCACCAGCACACGCCAGGGCAGAGCCCAGGGCUCCGCAGGGCACUGUUUAAUUGCUCACCCACACGGGUAGCGCUCCAAGUCUUCACGAUGUGUUAACUCUGUCCCUUUGAGUCACUGCAUCAGCUGUACCAGGAUUCUCUGACUCCUUUUCAAGCACUGCUCCCAGCCAGACUCCAUGCUGUUCUCAUCCACACAACGCAGGGGAUGAGAGCUGCUGCAAAAUAAUGCCACUGUGGCCAAUGGCUGAGCAUCAGUUACCUUCUGCAGCACAGCAAACGCAGCUCAGGAGCUCCUGGAAUUUGGUUUAUGCUGAACCCAUUUGUGUAUAUAUAUAUAUAUAUAAAAGCACACUUCCGUUUUCAAAAUACGUUGCUACCCAAAAAUAGAUGUUUCUUCAACAGCAGAGCACGGAGCAAUUGCUAAGCCAUGCAAGCAAAACACCAUGUACAGCCAGAGGACUGCAAAAGAACUCACUCUUGCUUACUGCAUAGUAGAAUUUUUUGGAAUUAAUACCUGAUUUUUCACCCACUGUGGAAAAAAAAAUAGGAACAUUACAGCGCCAGCUUCUGCCCUGGUUCCUUUUGCCCCCAAACAUCUCUGCAAUCACAUCCUGAAGUGCUGUACCUGCUAGUUUUUUUUCCAAACAUGAAGCAUUUCAUCCUCUAGGCAGAGGGCUUCAGUCUUCCAGGCUGUGAAACAGAACAUUUCAGGGGAAUAAGAUGAAAAAAAAGAAAAGCCCCCCAGCCCCACCUGAUUUGACUACUGCAAAGGAUACAAACCUCCUGGGAGUGGAGAGAUCACUGUAUCCUGUAUGUUGCCAUGUUUAACACACAGCUGCAGGGCGUUACCUCUCCAUGAAAAGGCCCACGUGCAAUGCCCAGCAGGAAUGACAGAAAUCACGCUGGAGAAGUCACAGGACAAGGGUUUAAAACAGUGCAACUCUGUGAGUUGAAGGCUGCUCUUCUUCACAUCCCCAAUCACAUCUGAUUGUCAUGCCCAGAGCAAAAUAAAUAGCAAGCCAGCUAUCUUCAAUGCUUUUGAUUCAUCAUGUUGGCACCGAAGUCACUUCACUGUGUUCUAAAUGAAGCAGACUGAGCGCACGCUUGUGCCCUUAUUGCUCUCUCACUUCAGGGAAAGGCAAAGAAGAAAAGUACUUGUGCGUGGAGAUGUAUUUGAAAGGAGAACAGUUUCUUGGCUAGCUUUGGCUUUCAUUUUAUAUCACCAAUAGCACUGCAUAACACAAUGCAUGCUUAUGCUUUUUUACCUCUUUGGCAUAAUAGGAAAGCUUAAAAGGCUGCAGUGUCCCCCCGCUGGAAGAGGAGCAGAGGUUUCUAUCACUCACUUGCUUUUUGCACCAGAAAUUCAGGUUUUGUUUAGCUUGGAAACCUCACAGAUGUCGUUCUGGUAACUCUUCAAUCCAAAGCGUGUGGCGGUAGAAGUCCAACACUCCCAAGGAAGCCCUCAGUUAUCCCAAACUGCCACAGAAAAGUAGUACAAUUCCCACAGGGUACAGUGGCCUGAAAAACAUGAAGGCAUCCCAAACAGUUUGUUGGUCCCCUGUACCUGCAGGCCAGCAGAGGCCACCAAUCAGCACCAGGCAUAUCUCCAAAUACAUCCCUAACAAGAGGAUAAAAUGAACGUCCUAUCCAGGCUGGUUUAAUUCAAACACAGAUGAGCCUUUUUAGGAACACAAGCAAUUGGCAGUUUUCACAUACACCACGCACCAGCUUCUCCCAGCUCUCCAUCACACUAUGAAAUCUGGCCUGGACAUCUCAUACUUACCCCUCAGCUAAAUUUUUGCCAGAAAAAGCAUAACGUCACAGCUGUGCUCCAAAUCACUGCAGCAACCAGGCAAUGAAAUCACCACUCAGAAAGUGUUGCUCCAGCUUAGCAGGGUAGGGCCCCUCCAUUGGUCAGCCAGUGGCACUCACGCAACACCAUAGCCAAUAUUCUCAUUGAUGAAGGCUAAUGAGGAGGUGCCAAUACCUGCUCUCCUUGCUCACAAGUGACUGCUUGGACUGUGCACAUUGAAGUCAUGGUGACCUAGGAGAGAUCAGAACCAGCUGCUUUUGAUUACCUUCUGCCACACAACAAAAGAAACUACACCCAGAAAGGAAGCAUACUCCUUCCUUCUGGCAAGUAAGCACAACUUUGAGGAAUUGAGUAAUAAAGCUGUGGCAUCUCGUGGGAGCAAGCUCACAGGAAAAAUAGUUCAAGGGGACCCUGAUCUUCAGCAACACCAUUUAGCACGUUGCAACGCUCCCUCUGACGUCUGUGCAUUACAUUUGCCUGAGCAAAAUGAGAAGUAAUAAACUAUUGCGUGUAGGUCCGUUUGCUGGUAGGGAAAGGGGCCCCACAGUUUUACUCCCUGGAGGCACCAGCUCUCCCCACCCCUUUUGUGUGUAUUUUUUUUUUUUUUUAAUGUGCCACACAUCAGCACAAUGCUGACAACUGCAUUGUAUGCUUUUCUGCCUAUGCAGCACUUCAAGAACACACAACUCUGGAAGGUUUUUGAAACGGGAAAGGGGGAGGGAGCUGUCCUUUGCUAUCUCAUUUUAAUUGCACAGCUCGCUCCUCUACAUGACCACAGGGAAGGGAUAAAAAUAAACGGUUAAAACCAGUACUGUUUUUAUCAUCCAAAAGGGUCAGACUAAGUCUUCUCACGAGAUACAGUCAGUUGUGCUUAGAAUAAAAGCUACCACGAGCAAGGAUAAAAAAGCACAGGGUUUCUUCUCUGGCACUGGAACCUCCCCUGUCCUCCUCACUGUUGUUUCGGUCUCCUCCUUUCCACACCUUCCAGUGCAGAGAUACUGAAAAGGGAAUAGGGAUGGAAGGGGACCAACAGCCAGCCCUCCAGCUUUUGCACCUGCCAGCAGCAGCCUGAUGGAGCCUGGUGGCACUGCUCCAGGAGCAGCGACCCGAGCACAUUACCUCCCAAAUAAACGAAUGGUUAACAUCUCACACACAGCAGCACAUGCAGCCUCAUUUAAUGAUGAAGAUGGCUAAUCCACAGCCUUUUUUUUUUUAAUUAUUAUUAUUUUUUUUUAAAAUAAGGCCACAAGGCAGAGCUUCUUCCAGAAGCAGCAGCCUUUUCUUUUGAAAAACAGUACUGGGUGGGAAGGGGAAGCCCUGGGACCCACUCAUGCCCUCCAGAAGUAACCACAGAAACAUUGUGGCUUUCUGUGGCGGUGUACAGCACACACACAGCCAGAGCACUGUGCCUUACCCUCCUCAGCAAGGCCAGUCCCCACUGCCCAGCUUGCUGCAUGUUUACAAUACUCACAGAGAAGCUAUCUGCUGUAGAGUGGGAGUUACACAAACAAUCCUGCAUUUCCCUGGGAGGAAAAAAAUAUAUAUACAAAAAUUAGGGCAGAAGGCAGCUUUCACCCACAACAUUGCAACAUUCCCCUGCACUACUCGGGUCAGGGAGGGGAUGCAGGGUUGUGUAAUUGAAGUGGAGCAUCUGCAUUAGCUCAGUGGGCCCUGUCCCCUGGGCAAUGUCACGUGGACUCGCAUGGAGACACAUUAGUGCUCGCAGCCUGCCUUAAUGCAAAGCUGUGGUCAGACCGCAGCGGAGCCAGCACUAAAGGAGGUCACCUGGGGACUACAAAAAAGCAAUGAAUUAAAAAAUAAUAAUAAUAAUAAUCUAUAAGCAGAUGUUUACUGACAAGCAGGCAAGUCCGAAUCCUCAAUCUGCAAAAAGCAAGGAGGAGCACAGAGCAGGCUGAGAAAUAGCAGCCUGGUUCCCAAGACAAAGACAAAUAUCUGCAUCUACAGACAGCACCAAACAGAUUGAGGUUACAGCUUUUACCAGCCUCCCUCCUCCCGGCUUUGCAGCCCUGAAACCCACCGGAUCUGCCGUUAUUGGAGCACACACCGACUGCAGCUCUCCCUGAUUUUUGGUGGCACCGUGGAAAUACUUACCCACCUCACAGGCAGGGCUGUGAAAGCUUACAUUUGUGAGAGUUUGCAAAUGGUUUUGAAAGCCUUCCAAGGAAGGUGCUGUAGAAUCGUAAAUCCUUCCCAUUAUUAAUAAAAUGGAGCUAUUGUUCCAGCUCUAAUCGAGACUUGUCUCCAGCUGGGCAAAUUUAAAAUGCAGUUCAAAGCAUACACACACACACACACACACAAAACGAUCAUAAGGAAGCUGCAACAUGGGCUGAAAAUAAUAAUUAAAUAAAAAUAAUAAAAAACAAUCACUGUAGCAGCAAGCUGUUCUUUGGAGGGGGGGAUAAAAAAAAAAAAAUGAGGCUGCUAUGUAAGAUGAAUUCCAAGCAGCAGCAUAGCAGGGUGGGGGGAAGCUCCCUCCCACUGCCUGGGAAAGGUCACUUCUGCCCUAAGCAGCAGAUCGGAGCUGGGGCACAGUGCAUGCAAGUGAGCCCAGCCUCAUCCAUCUCCAUCAGGAGACAUCUCUGCUUUUAAUUUAUUUAGCAAAGGGGGAGGAAACGGAGUGUGUGUGUGCGUGGGGGGGGGGGGGAAGGAAAAAAAACAACUUGCAAACACCUCCCAGCACCCUCUGCAAGGAUGGGGAAAUGUAGCGAGGGGGAGAGGCUUGGAAAGCGUCCUGAACCAAAGAGAGAGGGAGGGGGGAAGAGAAAGAGAGAGAGGGAGGUGGUGCAUCCUCCGCAUCCUCCUCCUCCUCCACGCCUGCCCGGCUGCGGCAAAGCUCCGCAGUAGGUGCUCCCCUCCCCCGUGCAUUUCCUUUGCUGUAGAAACUUCUGGAAUCAGCAGCCGAGCUGGGGAGAGGAAAGCAGAGCAACCCUGCUGCCCGCAGAGGGGGGAGAAAAAAAAAAGCGAGCUGAGCCAUAGAGCAGGCAAUAAAAGGGAGAGGAAUGCACAGCAGCGGGGCACGCACGUCGCUCCGUGCAUCACGUAGGGCAGCCCGCGGGGCUGGAAAUAAAGCACAAAAGCACACAAAUGGUGGUGUGUGCGGCGCUGGAUAGUGGGACAAGGAGCUGAGCCCUCCUCCCGGAGCUGCACUAAGCCCUGCCACUCAGUUCAGCUCAUCCGUCCUCAUUUCGGUGCAAUGAAUUCAGUGCCUGCCCGACUGCACUGGCAGAGUCAGCUGCCUUCUUCUUUUUUUUUUUUUCUUUUUUUUAAAUAAUUAAUAUUGCUUUCCUUUUUGGUUCUGUUUCACUGCUUUAUUUUUUACUUUUUAUUUUUUUAUCCUUUAAUUAAGAAAUCUUUCCCCAACAUCCCAAGGGAAAUCUACACCUCUGUGGAACAAAUAAAGCAUUCAGGCACCAAUCUUCACCACGGACUGAUCAAAUGGGCGGCUGGUCGCAUUUUGCUUGUUUUUACCUUUUUUAACUAUUAUUUUUCGUCUUUUUUUUUUUUCUUUUGGGUGUGUGCGUGUAAUUUUUUUUCCCUCUUGCUCUUAGGACAGUAGAAAGCCAAUGGAGGAAAACAAAGGUAAUAAAUAUAUAAAAUCCAAGAUACGUACGGGCCAAAGUGAGAGUAAUUGUGUGUAAUUGGAUCAUAGCGUUGUAGGUGAGUGGCUUUGUUCUGCAAUCCAUCUCUGGGAUAAGGAGAUAUAUAGAGACAUGUGGGAAUAAAGAGCACCUGCACGGCCCUAAAUCUCUAAUUUUAAAAGAAAAAAAAAAGGUAUUUUAGGUAUGAGGCUUUUAACAAAGGAGGGGCAAUGCUACACUGUGGUGUGGAUAAAGGUAAGGAAGCAUUACAAACAAUAAAAAAAAAAAGCACAGAAAGAUGUGUGGUAUUGCAGCUGCAGCACAAGAAUAUGACAGGAUUUUUUUUUUUUUUCUUUUUAACAGUAUUACCACAUCUGAUCUCACCACAUGUAUGUUUUUAAUUACCAGAACGGUGGCCGUGAGGAGGCAGUUCCUUCCCUCAGUCCUCGGCUGUUUGGGGCUUUUUUAGCGUUGUUUUGCUUUUUUUUUUUUUUUUUUUUUUUGUUUUUGUUUUUUUAAUUGGGCAUUUUCCACGCGGUGAGGACAGCGAUUGCAACCCCUGCGGAGGAGAGAAGUGGAGGGGGAGAAAUUAGGCAUCAAGCUAUCGAAAUACCCACCUGGGAGGGCGCGUGUGGAGGGGGAGGAAAGAGCAGCGUUGACCCCAAAAUCUUCACGCUGUGAGGGGAAAAAAACACUUCAAAAUGGGACGGUGAGGGGGACGGGAAGGGAACGAGCGGCCCUCAGGGCGCCGCGGGCCCUUCCCGCGCUCUCCGCCCGCCGCCAUUUUGUCGCCUCAGUACCGCUCGGCGCGGCCCCGCCGGGCGCCAUUUUGUGAAGCGAGCAGCGGGCGGGGCCCUGCAGUACCGCGGGCGGCGCUGUACCGCGCGGCCGUCUGCCUCCCCCUCCCCUUUCUGUGAGAAAAACAUCCUCCGUUCGCUCAUUUACCCUCACAAUUUUGUUGUUGUUGUUGUUUUUUCCUUCACAAAAUAAGGUUACGCGGUGUUCUUAAAACAGGGUCGGGAAAAGGGGACAAGGGGACAAGGUCUCCUCAGCACCCUGCGUACAGCCACUUGCGUUAAGGAGAUGAGGUCUGUGAGGGAAAGUUUGACCUUUCACAGAAUUAAGGGAUAUGUUUAAUUUCAGAAGAUAUUCCCCUCACCCUUUGCUGAUGUCCGUGAGCCUCCCUGACAGAUAGACACCUCCUGCCUUUUUCUAUAUAAAUAUUUUUAAAUAAAGCACACACCUUUGGGCUCCCAUCAGCGCCCCAGAGAAAUAAUGAAGAAAAUAAACCACUCCAAGUCAGAGCUGGGCAAAAAUCCUUAAUUCCAUCUGGAAAACCAGGGCUGCAGGGUGCUGUAAUCCACACUGAUGAUAGGAUGGAUGCUGUCAGAGCUCCCGUGUCUAUUUUCAGAAAUAGGGUGGGUUGGGUGAUUUUUAAUUUUAUUUUGCCUUAUUUAUUUAUUUAAUAACCCGGAAUAUCAUUUACAGCCCGGUAACAAGGCUUGCAUAAUGGGAUGCAUCGAUUUUUUUUUUUUUUUCCUGGCGUAUGGAAAACAUUGCGUUAAAAAUAACCCCCCAGCGCUGCGUAUGGAGGGGACGAUCCAUGCAGGUCCUGCUGUGGGAUUCUCUGUAAACAGAUCUCUGGAUAGAAGGACAAUAGCACAGUGUUAUUUUCUUUGUGGUUUGUUGUUUUUUUUUUUUUUUUUUCCCCGUUUUUUUUUUCUUUUUUUUUUUUUUUCAUCCUGGCUAUGCUCCAAAUCACGAAGCUGGAGGAUUUCAGGGCUCGCGCUGCUCCGCUUAUUUUUAACCCAGAACAAUUCCAGCUGCUUUCCAGCCCUCUCCCUUAACCAGAGCGCAUUUCAUGAGAGCUGCUGGCUUUUAGGUUGUGUCGAGCGCAGGGAAGUGCAAAAAAUGGAUCCGAAUGCUCUGCCAGAAAGGAUGACACUGCAGCAAGCCAGCUGGGACAUGCUCACAAUUAACUCAGGUCAACCAAAGAGGGGGGAGGGGGAAAUAAAAAAAAAGAUUUCCUCCAGCUGCUCUAAAAUCCAUUUUAAAAGAAAAACAAAGCACUGUUGCCAUUCCUUCUCCCUUCUCGACUGCUCCAGCCUCAGUUUCCCCAUCUCGCUGCAGUGCUGGCUCCUGCUCGCCGCUCCCCAGCAGCUUUCACCUCGGAGGCAGUGAUGGCAGAGGGAAGGCACGCCAGGAAUCCAGCUCAGCUCUCCCUCAGUCCACCGCCUGCUUUUCACAUUUCUCACGGCUGAUGGGGCCGUUUCCAACCCGUUUCCCUUUACAGCCUUGCUUAUGCUGCACCAAAAUCUUCAGCUUGCAAAUGAAACCUGCGAAAGGCCUUUUUUGUUACAAAGGAAAACCGUGAUCGCUGGUUUAAAAAUGUUACGGUCGCGCCUGUCAGCUCCUUUUAGCAACCCUAGAGCUGCAAGAAAGAUAACCUUUGUGGUUUUUUGUCCUACAUUCUCAUGUUCCUGGGAGCAGGGCACGGUGUCGGAUGCCUUCUCUGGGAAAGACCAGGGAAAUUUUAUCCCCAGGCCGCACCCAGCCCAAAGUGAAGAAAUAUUUGCAUUUGCUUCUCCUUGGAGAGCAGCCAGCCUAUGUGAGAGGGCCCUCCCCGCUCGCCUUGGCCUGCCAAGAGGGAUUGCAAGAAAGGAUGGGCUGAUUGCAGCAGCCCAGGGCGUUGCGCAGGCACUGCUCCUUGCCCUUUUGCACCUCCACUGCAAGACAACGCAAGACCUCAGCAGGUUUUGCACCUCCAGGUGAUCUGGGGGGGCUUUAUGGGGCCUUUGGGGGUAAAGAAUGAGCUCUGCAUUGCUGUGGGUGUGCUUUGUGUUUUUGCUGGCAGACCUGGGCAUGUUGGUGUUGAGUAAGGAGGUGGACUUUAAACUUUUUUCCCUUGCAAAAUCACUUGUGAUGGGGUGAGGAGCCCAAGGAUGGGCUGAGCUGUUGCAAUUGAUGCCUACAUGCUCAGCAGCAGAACAGGACCCCCAGGACUUGACGGGGCCGGACAUUGAGCACAAGUCCUCAAUAUCCACCUAGAGGAAAACACAGGGUUGUGUUUUCCAGGCUCAGCAACACAUUCCAGUCCCAGCUCACAAUGCUUCUCCCCUUACCCACCCAGAAAGCAGCUCAGAUCAGCCUUUAUCAGUUUACUUCCCUGUCUGUACACCCCCGUCAUCCUCCACUGCUGGAAAAAAUUGCCGAAUCCGACCACUUCUGCAACCCUUUGAACUCUCCAGCUGCACUUCGUCCCGCUCCUCUCCCUGCCAGAAUCACCUCCAAGGCUUUGUGUUGAUAAAAGCCAUUCCCUGCUCACCUCUAGCCAAAAACCACCACAGCCCAGUGCCAGCAGAGCGCCCUGCGGGGAGGUACCCAUCCCCUUCCUGCUUUCCCUACCCAGAGGUGCUGCUCAGAGGGUUCAGCAGCACAACAACAACAUCUAGACCAGUGCUCAGCAUCACUAUUUCCAUCCUCCCUGAAAAUCCCAUCUGGAAAAUACCCACAUUGCAAAAAGAGGGAAAUGCUCUGCUGUCUGGCACUUCCCUUCCCCACUCCUGCAGUCUUUAGGCCACUUUUUUUGUUUUGGUUUGGUUUUUUUUCACUUUUCCAUGCCUAGAGUUCCCCACAGAGUGCAAGGCUUUGGGAAUGACUUAAAGCACAGGACUUCCUGGCGUGGCACACGUCCCCACAUGCACCAAAGCUGC